rnacentral:lncRNA from 1 species
UAGCAUUCAGCAGUAAACAACAACAAUUGCACCUUCUCUUUUAUUAAAUUAAAGAAACACCAAAAUAUUCAUAAGAUGUCUUUAUUUUCAGGGCUCUUGAGCUGCUUUAGCAGUGUUCCUUCAAAAGUUUCUGAUGAUGCUAAUAAUAAGUCAAAAUCAUCAGAGAAAAAUGGAAAGAGCAAAAAGAAGACAAGUAAAGGUGCUCCAAUUCCGGUUUCUUAUUUCCCUAUCAACUCACAGUUUUCACGCUUAUAAAUAGCUUUCUUGAAUGGUCGACAUGAUCCAAGUUUCUAUUUCUACCUCUUGGAAGUUGGGUGUUUGAGGUUUUUAAUGAAUAUUGAAAAAGUCGAGUUGGAAGUUGAAGGAUUGGAUUCACAGAGAAAAACAAAAGAAUUUGAUUUGUACUUGUCUGAUAUUUUAGCCCUGUGGAAAAGGGGAGUUUUGAGCUUUUACAAAUGUUCUUGUAUUAGGGUACGUGGUAGCCACUACUAAUAUUUCUAUUAGGAUAGUGUGAUGACCUUAUUUUAAAAAUGAAAUUCUGCGUUUCGAGGCCUUAAAAAUCUCUUCUAGCAUCACCUCGAUUUGUGUGCGUAGUUCGGGCACGUAGCCAGAAAACCUAUAUGUAAAAAUCUAUGAAAAAUGAUAAAUUUUGAUUUCGGUCAACGUUUUGGGUAAACGGACCCGGACCCGUGAUUUGACGGUCCCCGAGGGUCCGUAGGAAAAUAUGGGACUUGGGCGUAUGCCCGGAAUCGAAUUCCGAGGUCUCAAGCCCGAGAAAUGAAUUUUUGAAGAAAAUUAUUUUCUGAAAUUGUUUAUAAGGUUUGAAAAUGAAUUUUGAUUAGAACUCGAUGGUAUCGGGCUCGUAUUUUGGUUUCGGCGUCCGGUACAGAUCUUAUAUAUGAUUUAAGAUAAUUCUGUGAAGUUUGGUAAGAAACUGAAUUCAUUUGACGUGAUUCGGACCUUAAAUGUAAAUUGAUGUUUAAAGAAGUGUAACGAUCCGACCGGUCGCUUUGAGCUUUUGCAUUUUGCCCGGCAGUUCUCGAGCAUGACUUGCCCGUAUUGUGUAUUAUGACUUAUGUAAAUCGUUGGUGUUGGGUUUCAGGUUAAUCAGAAUGAAUUUGGAAGAACAGUCUCAGUUGAAAGCUUAAAAUUUGAAAGGUUUGACCAAAAUUUGAC